rnacentral:rRNA from 1 species
CCUACGGGGAGCAGCAGUGGGGAAUAUUGCGCAAUGGGCGAAAGCCUGACGCAGCGACGCCGCGUGAGGGAUGAAGGUCUUCGGAUCGUAAACCUCUGUCAGCAGGGAAGAACGGUCACUGUGCUAAUCAGCAGUGAAUUGACGGUACCUGCAAAGGAAGCACCGGCUAACUCCGUGCCAGCAGCCGGGGUAAUAGGGAGGGUGCGGGCGUUAAGCGGAAUUACGGGGCUUAAAGCGCUCGUAGGUGGUAUGUCAAGUCAAGGGUGAAAUCCCCGCGCUCAACGUGGGAACUGCCUUUGAAACUGGCAAACUGGAGUGUGUGAGAGGAUAGUGGAAUUCCAGGUGUAGGAGUGAAAUCCGUAGAUAUCUGGAGGAACAUCAGUGGCGAAGGCGACUAUCUGGCACAUAACUGACGCUGAGGAGCGAAAGCGUGGGUAGCAAACAGGAUUAGAUACCCGGGUAGUC